UUAUUUGAAGCAAGCGUUAGGGAAGAGAUGGAGAGACCACAAGAGCUCAUUAAAAAAGAAAUACUUCAAUAAUAAUCUCAACCUUGAAGAGAAGCUAUAGACUAUCCCACCUGGAAUGCUCAUGUAUCAAUGGGAAGAUAUAGUCAAAUUUUGGAGUUCACAAAAAGGACAGGACCGAGAGUAUGUUGGUGUUGCUAGUAGGCAACAAUAAAAGUUUACUCACACGGCUAGAUCGAAGAGCUUUGCUUGUAUAGCUAAUGACGAGGAAAAUACAUCUGGUUCUAAAGUUGGCCGAAUCAAAUU